UUUUUUUUCUUUCGGUUGUCACGAAACUGCUCUCCGCCUCUCGAGUGAAUGUGUAGUUGUGGGUCAGUUCGUAAACGCCGGUCACACUUGUAUAUUCCUGCUGCCUCGCACGCGACGAUAUUAAAUUCGUAUUCGUCGCGCGGAUGACUCAACGCGACCAAUUUAUACGCGUCGUCUCGUCAACUGCACUUAUAGCCCUGGAUCGACGUCCGCUCGAAGCAACGUCGCCCCAUGGUGUUCACCUGGGUUGGCCACCUUUUCUGCAUUCUUACCCUCUUGAAGUGUCCGAGUUCUCGUGUGCAGACUUUCAAACGGCCCAUUCUUUCAAGCUUCCGCAACAUCAAGAGCGGUGUUACGUCCUACAAAGGCUCCAGUCUCACGUGCGACAAAAUUUUUUUCUCUGCUUCACUGACCUCCAUGACCCGGUCCACGCGGAACCCAACAGCCUUCUAUGGAAAGAAACCUAAGAUCAUCCUGUUGACCCGACCAUGGUGCGUAGUACAAGGCGAUGGCCGUUGUACAGCGGAAACAGACGCAGAUGAGGUGUUCGAUAUGGACUCCUCCCCGCCGAAAGUGUCGUACGAGGGCGUCUUCUCCCAUUGCAGUGAAGAACGAGUGUAUAGGCCUUGGUGAACUUCACGGACAACCACAAACAACACAAUGAGGUUACUCCGCAAUCGGAGAAGGUCUUGUAUUAUCGCUGCAACUUCAAGGAGUGGUCGCGAAUAUUCGCAGCUGUAUAAGGAGUGUUCCCACAAGAGAGAGAGAGAGAGAGAGAGAGAGGGAAAGGAGAACUCGGCACGUAUAACGACUUCCAAGUGCACGCACAGCACCGACAACAUUGUGAACGAUGCUGGAAGUCAGCGCGCCCGCCGCGGCAAGGAGCUUUCCGCUUUUGCACCAGCCGUUCGCUCAUUUUGUUGUUCUUGCCGUGUCCUCCGGGUUGCGUUGUUUCUCCCGGAGAGAAAGAGAGGCGAAGAGCCCGCGUUUAUACGCGCUUGUCAUGUCCUGCCGCUGCGGUGUUUCCUCGCAGUGAGAAAAAAAUAGAGAGAGGAAGUGUACCCACUCGUGAGAAAGUCACGGCAGUUUGAUGCCGUCCGGCGCUCAAAGUUUUCGCGCGAGACGUACGGGGCAUACACAACAAGGCGUACCUGGCAUGCGCGCAUGGGAGCGAACGAGACGGCUUGUGUACAGUAUGGACGAGGAAGGAUCCCUUCUGUAAGAGGCCUCACUUAGGCCGCGCACGUUGGAAGGGCAGGUGGCGCCUGCAAACAUGCAGGGGCGCCAAAAGCCCUAAGCGUUGCGACUGUUCCUCAAGCGAACAUCCUACCUUCUCCGUUUCCUAUUAUGAUUAUUUUGAUAACUACUCUUGUCUUCUUUUUAAUCCGCGCUUUCCUAUUUCCUCAUUCCGAUUCGAACA